AGUAAAUCGAUGAUCAGGAUUAGUACAGUUUGCAUGGCAGCAAAGAGAGCCUGUGUAUGGUGAAAACAGGACUGACAGCGGCUGGAAUGGACCUGAGAGAGUUACCUUGAAUCAAGUAGAGGGAGCCGAUUCAUCCACGUUAAAGGAUGAGGCUAUCAAUAGCCGCAGAGUGGAAGCGUGUUACACGCUUUAACGUGAGGUGGUACCGCGGGAAGUUCCCGUCCUCCGU
rnacentral:ncRNA from 1 species